AGCUUUCAGCCUUACUUUUUUAGUAACUCCACAAUCUGUGCGCUGCAGGGCGAAACUAUUGGGCUUUGAUCUCCUUCCCGUAAGCAAAAUUGAAUAGGAUGCUUUGCCCUAACACCCCCGGACCGUGAGAAUCCCCUCAGGAAUAUGGAAUGCUGUGCAGCUGUGAUGGUGGAACUAUGAGGAAGGUGGUGGGCAGUGGGGAGGUCUAUGAGGGUGCUGGUGCACUCCUUCAGGUCUCAGGCUUUGUAUGUUCAUCUCUCCUGGAAUGGAAUCAUGCAUUUCUCCCACUCUAAAGGCUGGGCCCUAGACUACAGAUCUUCAGCUCCCGAAAGUGAAACCAUGCCAGGAGGGCAGGAGCAGCACCCCACAGACAGCGGAGGCAGACAGAGAAGGACCCUGGAAGGAAGAGCAGCUCACAAAGAUGGACAGGAGAAACCAGGAGCAGUUUGAAUUCCUCAGGAUGCGGGAGGAGUGGGAUAUUCAGCAAGAAGAGACACUGAUGAACUGGUUCAUGGAGUAGAAGGCACAUAUAGGGAAUGGGAGCAUUCCUUAAUGGAGAGGCUCAUUGAACUGGUAGUCGAACAAGUUUGGGUUCUGCUGAGGCCACAGAACCAGAAACUGCCACUUCUUCCUCCUCCAGCUGUUGCCCAGGGUGCUUGAAUCCUGA